rnacentral:rRNA from 1 species
ACAGCAGCAGCCGCGGUAAUACAGAGGGUGCAAGCGUUAAUCGGAAUUACUGGGCGUAAAGCGCGCGUAGGUGGUUCGCCAAGUUGGAUGUGAAAUCCCCGGGCUCAACCUGGGAACUGCAUCCAAAACUGGCGAGCUAGAGUAUGGUAGAGGGUGGUGGAAUUUCCUGUGUAGCGGUGAAAUGCGUAGAUAUAGGAAGGAACAUCAGUGGCGAAGGCGACCACCUGGACUGAUACUGACACUGAGGUGCGAAAGCGUGGGGAGCAAACAGGAUUAGAUACCCCCGUAGUCCCUGUCUCUUAUAC